CUGUUAAAAAGCUCGUAGUUGGAUCAAGAGCUGGACAGUGCACGGUGGCCCCAUUUGGUAUCGUGGUUCCGAUCACGGUGCCGGUGGCGGAUCAACCCCGUGCGCCAAACUGUCCACUCUAACAGACCGAAACGGUUCCCUGUGAGUAGGUUCCUUCAUUGGGACUGAAAGCGCUUACGCAUCAACCAUAUGCAUACGGGACGUCGGUCAAAGUUACUGUGAACAAACCAGCGUGUCCAAAACAGGCUUUCGCCUGAAUGUUCGAGCAUGGAAUAACAAGGGAUCGAUUCUCUCGGUUCUUUUUGUUGGUUUUUAACCCGAGAAGGAGUAAUUCAGGCCACGGUGUCUGAGUUGGGUUUCCCUUCACCUCGGUGGAGGCCCCAAUUAGGCCGUGUCCUUACGGGAUCAAUAGGGACUGACGGGGUCGUACGUACUUCCACGUCAGAGGUGAAAUUCUUAGAUCGUGGGAAGACGAACUUCUGCGAAAGCAUUCGACAAGAAUGUCUUCAUUAAUCAAGAACGAGAGUGUGGGGAUCGAAGAUGAUCAGAUACCGUCGUAGUCCACUACUGUAAACAAUGCCGUCUCAGGAUUGAGAAGUGAACAGAAUGACUUUCACAGCACUAACCCCUGAAACGAGAAAUCAAAGAUUAUGGGUUCAGGGGGGAGUACAUUCGCAAGGCUGAAACUUAAGGA
rnacentral:rRNA from 1 species